rnacentral:lncRNA from 1 species
CAGGGGUGUCCUCUGAAACUACACUUGGUCAAUGGUUGGCCGCUCUGUGAACAUAUAGAGCUAUCUCUGAUUGCUUGUCAAUCUACUGAAGCUAUCUCAGACUUGCAGAUGAUCAGCAGUGUUGGAGCCUUUUCUUUCGGUAGGAAAGACAGUGAUGAUUGACCUAAAGCGGCAGCAACACAGUGGCUAAUUAGUAGUGGUGAUGGUGGUCGUGACUACCCUCUUCUU